rnacentral:rRNA from 1 species
ACAAGCGCGUGGAGCAUGUGGCUUAAUUUGACUCAACACGGGAAAUCUUACCGGGUCCGGACAUACCGAGGAUUGACAGACUGUUAACUGCAACACAUGCUGCUAAGUUUUAAACUUAAUAGCUCUUUCAUGAUUAUAUGAUAGGUGGUGCAUGGCCGUUCUUAGUUCGUGGAGUGAUCUGUCUGCUUAAUUGCGUUUCAAAAUUUAAACCUGAGCGACAAGGUGCUACUAUCGAAACUGUCUUUGAGUGUGAACUAUAAGUCUUUUGACUUAUGACCAUCACUCUAGACGUUUAUGUUUUGGUGUUGGCCCUUGAUGCUCAUUUGAACGCAACGGACGUGAUUGCAACCCCUUGUUGAGAUUUAUCCGAUCUCUACGUUCACUGAACCACACUCUUUAGCGAGAGCAGUGGGGAUGUGGAUAAACUCGGGGGACUGCUGACUAUAAACUUUUCUCAAACCAGAGGAAGGUUGCGGCAAUAACAGGUCUGUGAUGCCCUCAGAUGU